ensembl:snRNA Gm26228 predicted gene, 26228
GUGCUCGCUUCGACAGCACAUAUACUAAAAUUGGAAAGAUACAGAGAAGAUUAGCAUGGCCCCUGCGCAAGGAUGACAUACUAAUUUGUGAAGCGUUACAUAUUUUC